UACAUAAAUAAUUACCAUAAACUCUUAUUUUUAAUCAGAAGAAUGACCAACACGUACUUUAAAGCAGGGGUAUUGCCUUUCUGGUCCUUUCGUACUAAGAAGGCUAAUUUUUAUC
rnacentral:rRNA from 1 species